GAGGAGGCGGAGUCCGGCCGGGGGGACUCCUCCCCCUGCCCUGCACCAGCCGAGGCUCCGCCCCCACACCCAGCCCGAGGUUCGCUGGGCACCGGAGGAGGCUCGGCUCCACUGGAGCGAGAGGCGAGUGAGACCGUGAUCCGUCUACAGGCUCCUCUGUCCAUGGAAUUCUCCAGGGAAGAAUACUGGAGUGGGUAGUCAUUCCUUCUCAGGGAUCAAACCUGUGUCUCCCGCAUUACAGGAGACACCAGUUCUAUCCCUGGUCUGGGAGGAUCCCACAAGCUGCAGAGCAACUAGCCCCUUGGGCCACAACUACUGAAUCUGUGCUCUAGAGCCCAGGAAUGGAAACUACUAAGCCCACCUGUAGCAACUACUGAAGCCCACAUGCCCUGGAGCCCACGCUCUGCAACAAGAGCAAGUGAAAAAGGAAAGUGAACCGCAACAAGAGCAAGUGAAAAAGGAAAGUGAAGUCACUCAGUCAUACAGUACUGAACGACUGAACUGAACUGAGGUGGUACUGGUUCAGUCCCUGGGUUGGGAAGAUCCCCUGGAGGAAGGUACAGCAACCCAUUCCAGUAUUCUUGCCUGGUAUAUCCCAUGGACAGAGGAGCCUGACAGGCUACGACUAAAGUGACUUAGCACGCACACAUGCAUCCUAUCUUAACAUACAUACAUACAUAGGAAAAAUUAGAGGCACAGAUACCAAGGACAGUCUGGGAGAGGGGUAUAGUCAGAGACUCUCGAUUUUUACUUUAUACAGUUCUGUGGUGGUUGACAAUUACAUAACAAGAAAAUAUGAAACCAGAAAAAGAACAGUCCAGAUAUCUGUAGAUAGAGCUUCCCUGGUGGUCCAGGGGCCAUGCGGGGAGGCGCCCACAGGCUGCAGAGCAGCUAAGCCAGAGUGCCUAGAGCCUGUGCUCCACAAUAGAAGCCCCACACUAGAGAAAGUCUGUUCGCAAGACCCAGCACAGCCCAAAUAAAUAAAUAAUAAAUUAUUAAAAAAAGAUAUCUAGGGAUCUAAUUAGAUUCUUUUUAAUUUUGAAACAAAUUGUCACAGUAGUUUAUGUGCUGUGCAGAGUGCCUCUUAUCCCAGAAUUAUUCACUCUGGCAGCUUUCUUUAAAUUGAAGCUUUUCCUCCGUCCUUGGAGGAAAGCAAAGGGUUAAAGGGGCUAGGGGAGGGAAAGAGGAAGUGAGGUAAGGGAAAGAGGGGCGAGGGCAGCUGGGUACAGCUUCGGUGCCCUGCUGGCCCCCCCCUCCACACACACACACAGCCACAUACGUAGGCACCCAUACACACACCCCCACCUCGCCUUCCCCGCGGAUCUGGCUCCGACUGGAAGCCGCCAGCUCAGGUGCUGGGCUCUUCCUGGGGACACCCGAUGGGGAAAGAUCAGAACUCAAUGAAUGUAAAGUUAGGUGGAGGUUAAGACAAGAUGGUGCAACCUAGCAGCAACCAACGGUUCUCAGGGUAUGGUCCACGGACCCUGAGGAAGGGGGGGACCAUGAGAUCUAAAUUGUGAUCAUAAUAGUAAGUCAGUUAUAUUUCUCACUGUGCUAACAUUUGCCCAAAUGAUGCAAAAGCAACAGUGGGAUAACGGCUUACAAUUUAGCCUGAGUCAUGACAGAGGCACCAGACUGUGAUGAUUUUAUUUCUCACCACCAUGCACUCUUUUUUCUUUUUUCAAGUCCAUUAAUAAGAUCUCAAUAAAGCAGUAAAAAUUAUUUGGUUAGAUCAUAACUCUUGGUUAUACAUCUUUCU
ensembl:lncRNA